rnacentral:misc_RNA from 1 species
UGUCAUGGUUCUCUAGCCUCUUUUGAGGAUAGUGGAGUUAUUGAGCAAUUUGGUUUGAUCCAAGUUGCUUGAUGAGCUGUGACAAAAGCAUCUCUGAUGCCUUUCUACUUUCUGGUUUUUAUAGCGAAUUCCCAGAUAAGAUGCUGAGACGGUUUUAAUAUGUUAUGCUUUUUAAGUUAUCUUUUAUCCUUCAUUAUCCUCCCUUUAUCAUUUUGGUUUGAGUUGUGUUCAUUGCAAGGUGUUCUUCUCUGUGUCAUUGGAGAUUUGCCAUUGCUGAACUGUUGCUUUGAUUGUCUAUGCAUUUUUCAAAUGAGUUUCUUAUACGUUUAGAUUUUGUAUUUUUUCUAUUCGAGUCUUUCCCCAUAGUUGUGGGAUCUCUUAAAGACAGGUGACAGUGUCAUUUCAUUCAUGGUCCAGUGUAAAUACCAGCUAUACCUAAGAUGUAACUUAAGACUUUCAUCUUGUUCAUUGUGCAAUGACCAAGAAUGAUCAGACGUCAUUUCUUUAAUCUA